CUGAUAUGAAGAGCUUGCUCGGAUUUGAAGAUGAACAUUGCAAAGAGUGGCGAACGGGUGAGUAACACGUGGGAAACCUACCUCUUAGCGGGGGAUAACACUUGGAAACAAGUGCUAAUACCGCAUAAUACUGAUAACCGCAUGGUUAUCAGUUGAAAGAUGGUUCUGCUAUCACUAAGAGAUGGUCCCGCGGUGUAUUAGCUAGUUGGUAAGGUAAUGGCUUACCAAGGCAAUGAUACAUAGCCGAGUUGAGAGACUGAUCGGCCACAAUGGGACUGAGACACGGCCCAUACUCCUACGGGAGGCAGCAGUAGGGAAUCUUCCACAAUGGACGAAAGUCUGAUGGAGCAACGCCGCGUGUGUGAUGAAGGGUUUCGGCUCGUAAAACACUGUUGUAAGAGAAGAAUGACAUUGAGAGUAACUGUUCAGUGUGUGACGGUAUCUUACCAGAAAGGAACGGCUAAAUACGUGCCAGCAGCCGCGGUAAUACGUAUGUUCCAAGCGUUAUCCGGAUUUAUUGGGCGUAAAGCGAGCGCAGACGGUUGUUUAAGUCUGAAGUGAAAGCCCACAGCUUAACUGUGGAAGUGCUUUGGAAACUGGAUAACUUGAGUGCAGUAGAGGAGAGUGGAACUCCUGG
rnacentral:rRNA from 1 species